UACGUAGGUGGCAAGCGUUGUCCGGAUUUAUUGGGCGGAAAGAGCGCGCAGGCGGUCGAGUAAGUCGAAUGUGAAAGCCCCCGGCUUAACUGGGGAGGGUCAUUCGAUACUGUUCGACUUGAAGGCAGGAGAGGGCAGCAGAAUUCCCGGUGUAGUGGUGAAAUGCGUAGAUAUCGGGAGGAAUACCAGUGGCGAAGGCGGCUGCCUGGCCUGUUCUUGACGCUGAGGCGCGAAAGCUAGGGUAGCAAACGGG
rnacentral:rRNA from 1 species